CGUCGUGACACGGGGUGCCGCAACCAGCGGCUGAGAACACACCCGUCGAACCUGAUCUAGGUCGCACUAGCGAAGGGAUGUCGCGCAUGUCUCCC
rnacentral:ncRNA from 2 species